rnacentral:rRNA from 1 species
GGAGGUUACUGCUAUCGGUGUUCGCCUAACCCAUGCGAGUCAUAUGUUCUUCGUGAACAUGGCGUACUGCUCAGUAACACGUGAAUAACCUGCCCUUGGGACCGGCAUAACCCCGGGAAACUGGGGAUAAUUCCGGAUACCGCAUAUAUGCUGGAAUGCUUUAUGCGUGAAAUGGAUUCGUCUGCCCAAGGAUGGGUCUGCGGCCUAUCAGGUAGUAGUGGGUGUAAUGUACCUACUACCCUACAACGGGUACGGGUUGUGAGAGCAAGAGCCCGGAAAUGGAUUCUGAGACAUGAAUCCAGGCCCUACGGGGCGCACCAGGCGCGAAAACUUUACAAUGCGGGAAACCGUGGUAAGGGGACACCGAGUGCCAGCAACAUUUGUUGGCUGUCCAGGUGUGUAAACUACACCUGUUAGCAAGGGCCGGGCAAGACCGGUGCCAGCAC